AUUUGCUACUUUGAGAUGACAAAAAGUGUGUACAUAUUUCGUGUAUUUGGAUUAUGGAUUUUAAGGAAAAAAGAUUUGGAAAAAAGAUUUGAUAAUUUAAAUUUGGUUGUUGAUUGACUUUGAGAGUUUUGUCGUGACUCAUGAUAAAUUAUAAUGGAUUUGAAAUAACAAAUUGGAGAGCUAAGAAAAGUCUUUUUUGUUAAAUGACAGUUGAGAAUCACUAUUGAUAGAGUAGAGCUUCAAUCCAGCUAAAGAGAGUUCCUCUCCUUCUAAAGUGAAGAUGUGGGCUACUGAUGAUUUGAAUAAAACCAUCUCAUGGCUGGAGAGCUAAGAAGAAAAGGAGUAUUGAGGAACAUAGGAUAAUAGCAUCAAAGCCACAGCUCAAGUCACCAUCACAGCCAUAGCUCAAGCUGCAGUCUUCACAACAGCACACUGGGCCGCAGCCUCAGCUGCAACUGCAGCCACAAGAGAAGUGUCAGCCUCAUCCCAAUCAUGUGCAAGGCAGUUAUGUUAGACCACCUGGACCAAGAUUAGUUAGCAAGAAUAGAUAUGGUUAUGAAAGUGGAGUUAGUUAGAUGUGCUGGUGUAACAGAAUCAGUUAGCAUUGUUAAGUAUAAAUGACUGUAAGACUUCAUUGAAAGUUAAUGAGAAAGAAUUUCAAUUUCUGUUA